rnacentral:lncRNA from 1 species
AAAAAAGUUGCUAUUGCUGUACUUUGAAAAUAAUUAAUUGUAAAAUAAAACAACUCCAUGUUUGAUAAACAACAUUUUUAAAGUAUUGUUAAUACAAAUAGUAGUGUUAAAACCGUUUGUCAAAUUUUAAUAUAAAAUCGUUAUAAAUGUGAAUAAUGACUAAAAUAGACAUGAUAUUGAAAGUAUCAUGCGCUAAUCAUGCGGUGGUAGUGGUGGAGAUAGUGGUGAAAG